UGGCCGAGUGGUUAAGGCGGCGGCCUGCUAAGCCGUUGGGCUAUGCCCGCGAGGGUUCGAAUCC
rnacentral:tRNA from 1 species